rnacentral:rRNA from 1 species
GAGUUUGAUCCUGGCUCAGAACGAACGCUGGCGGCAGGCUUAACACAUGCAAGUCGAACGCAUCCUUCGGGAUGAGUGGCAGACGGGUGAGUAACGCGUGGGAACGUGCCCUUCAGUUCGGAAUAACCCAGGGAAACUUGGGCUAAUACCGGAUACGUCCGUAAGGAGAAAGAUUUAUCGCUGAAGGAUCGGCCCGCGUCUGAUUAGCUGGUUGGUGGGGUAAUGGCCCACCAAGGCGACGAUCAGUAGCUGGUCUGAGAGGAUGAUCAGCCACAUUGGGACUGAGACACGGCCCAAACUCCUACGGGAGGCAGCAGUGGGGAAUAUUGGACAAUGGGCGCAAGCCUGAUCCAGCCAUGCCGCGUGAGUGAUGACGGCCUUAGGGUUGUAAAGCUCUUUCGGCGGGGACGAUAAUGACGGUACCCGCAGAAGAAGCCCCGGCUAACUUCGUGCCAGCAGCCGCGGUAAUACGAAAGGGGCUAGCGUUGUUCGGAAUCACUGGGCGUAAAGGGCGCGUAGCGGCUUUGUAAGUCGGGGGGUGAAAGCCUGUGGCUCAACCACAGAUUUGCCUUCGAUACUGCAUGGCUUGAGACCGAGAGUAAG